UCGGCUGCUCUUCUUCAGUAACCAGCCAUGAUCCUCCAGGCGGCUGUGCUCAGCGUGUUCUUGUGCUUCGCCCACACUUUUGUUAUAGAGGCACCUUUUAAAAAAAGUGUUGAAAACUCCGGAAACAACACUGAGGGUGAUGAUUC